AGGGUGGAGGCAAUUGAGCGUUAGGGACGCCUCGAAGGGAGGGGUUAGGCUAGACUGCCUCUCUCACGGUCUAGGCCAGCCCCCUCCGCGGCAUCUCGGAGGUGCAGCCACCUCGUCGUGGAGGACGGUGCCCGCGGCGGCGGUGGAGGACGGAGUGCUGGGAAACGGCGCUGAGGCGGGGGUUCGCGGCGAGGGCGUGCGUUGAGCUUGGGAUAGGGCGGUACGGAGCGACGGAGCGGCGAACUCGGCGCGACUACUCGGGCUCGUCGCCACCGGCUGGGGCAGCGGCGGCGGCUCGGACACCUGCUCCUCUUCCUCUUCCUCCUCCUCUGCCUCCGCCGGCUCCUGCUCCUCCUGUGCGACGACCUGGCGCGCGUCGGACUAGAGUGCCCAGAGAAACGUGUACACGUCAAGCAGUUACCUGGUUACGGAUUAGAGGGGUUCCAACUACAAAGUGACCUGGGCCACUUCCUCGACUCGUCUCAUUAUAGACUCCCUUUUUUAACUCCCCGCACGAAACCAACACGAGAGUCGGUCCAAUAAAAUGCUCCCAACACACGUGACUUGGGGUAAAGAGACCUGGUUCCCUGCUACUUGUUCUACCCUUACUCCUCCUACGAUGAUUAGGUCUCAUCAUUAUAACCUAAUGUCCAGUACCCAAUCAUCAAUUGACGUCUUUAGUCUUAUAACCUAUCGUCAUUGAUUCCGGUAACCGUUAAAGAUAGUAUAUAGUAUUAAAUAAACACACUAAGGAAAUGGUUGAUGUACAAAGAUAAACAAAUGAUAUAAAACAAGCAAGGACUUAUAAAAUACUUAACACAUAAAGAUAAAAUUAUGUAUUCUGAGAAAAAGUACGUUAAAUGAGUUACCGGAUAUACUCUUCGGGAUUUAUUUCGAUAAGGAGUAAACAUGCGAAAGAAUGAAUAUAUCUAGUUUUAUACCUUAAGAGACGUCCAAUUGAUUAUGUACGUAGUCGAAACAUAGUAUUUCUAAAGUGGUAGGGUUCCAUUACCUUUAUUCAAGUGUUCUAAGAGUACAACUCCAGACAUGUUUCUCUAUGUUCCGUUACAGACACACGACCUUCCUCUUUGAGUGACGGUUUCGAUAUUAGGGACUACGAUUUCGGACGUACAAGUCUAGACGUCUCAAAUGAGUAUAAUGACAUACUUACUAAUUAUGUCUCCCUCGGGAAAACAGUCCAGUAAAUUAGUAAUUUAGUAUGCAUGUAAUAGAGUCAAGGGUCAAAACCGAGUGAAAGAACUACGUAGAGCCUACUCUCCUUUCCUUACCUAUUAGACUGUUCGUUACAAGCCCGUAUGGGAAUAUAAAUGCAGACUACUUUACGACGCCCACGUUUGAUUAGUUCUGACGACGGUACUCGUUUUCUCGUCUGUAAUGAAUACUCUUUUGUUAUUUUCUUAGAAGGCACUGAUGUAUGGUGUUGCUCAGUUUCUGCUACUUUCGUGAUGAGGUAACCACCACAAUCGUUCACCUCAGACCUCCCUCUUGUUGUGUUUCAUCCUUUAACUAAGGGAGUGGGAACGAACGAAGUUGCUGGGGCGGGCAGAACCACCCCAGCUAAGGGGGUAGCGGGCUGAGUAGAGGCUGCUCAUACCGCAGUCACCCAUGCGGGGCGGCAAGCAUACGAACCGCCCAGGGUCUUGUGGGCACUGCACAUACUCGAACUGAUCCCGCUCCCCGAGCACGAGCACGAGCUCGAGCUGUUCUGCGUGAAGCUAGAGCAGUGGUUGAUGCUCGACCUGACACUCUGAGGUCUCGUCCGCCCCCGCUGCUUCUGCUUUCACCCCCGUCAAGCUCGAACAGCGACGGCCUCUGGGACCUCUCCACGCGCUUCUCUGGACCAAUCUAAACAACCGGUGGUGACCAUUUGACCUGAUUAUUGUUUAGCCUACAGUAGAGAGUACAACGGCUAAGUUGGGACCU
rnacentral:rRNA from 1 species